GACGAACGCUGGCGGCGUGCUUAACACAUGCAAGUCGAACGGAAAGGCCCUGCUUUUGUGGGGUGCUCGAGUGGCGAACGGGUGAGUAACACGUGAGUAACCUGCCCUUGACUUUGGGAUAACUUCAGGAAACUGGGGCUAAUACCGGAUAGGAGCUCCUGCUGCAUGGUGGGGGUUGGAAAGUUUCGGCGGUUGGGGAUGGACUCGCGGCUUAUCAGCUUGUUGGUGGGGUAGUGGCUUACCAAGGCUUUGACGGGUAGCCGGCCUGUGAGGGUGACCGGCCACAUUGGGACUGAGAUACGGCCCAGACUCCUACGGGAGGCAGCAGGGGGGAAUAUUGCACAAUGGGCGGAAGCCUGAUGCAGCAGCGCCGCGUGCGGGAUGACGGCCUUCGGGUUGUAAACCGCUUUCGCCUGUGACGAAGCGUGAGUGACGGUAAUGGGUAAAGAAGCACCGGCUAACUACGUG
rnacentral:rRNA from 1 species